rnacentral:rRNA from 1 species
GACGAACGCUGGCGGCGUGCCUAAUACAUGCAAGUCGAACGCAGUGGGGACGGGUGAGUAACACGUGGGUAACCUCCCAUCAGAGGGGAUAACACUUGGAAACAGGUGCUAAACCGAUACUGAUGGACGGACCCGCGGUGCAUUAGCUCGGUGGUGGGGUCACGGCUCACCAAGGCCACGAUGACUAGCGUACCUGAGAGGGUGAUCGGCCACACUGGAACUUAGACACGGCCCAGACUCCUACGGGAGGCAGCAGUAGGGAAUCUUGGACAAUGGACGAAAGGCUGACCGAGCAACGCCGCGUGAGUGAAGAAGGUUUUCGGAUUGGAAAACUCUUUUGUGAGGGAAGCGUUAUCUAACGAGGAAGCAACGGCUAACUACGUGCCAGCAGCCGCGGUAAUAC